rnacentral:rRNA from 1 species
UACGAAGGGGGCUAGCGUUGCUCGGAAUCACUGGGCGUAAAGCGCACGUAGGCGGAUUGCUAAGUCAGGGGUGAAAUCCUGGAGCUCAACUCCAGAACUGCCCUUGAUACUGGCGGUCUCGAGUCCGGGAGAGGUGAGUGGAACUGCGAGUGUAGAGGUGAAAUUCGUAGAUAUUCGCAAGAACACCAGUGGCGAAGGCGGCUCACUGGACCGAGACUGACGCUGAGGCGCGAAAGCGUGGGGAGCAAACAGG